AGUAUGGGCUUUCAGGCAACCGCGGCGACGGCUCCCCUCCAGGGGAAGAAUGUGGAAUCCGCAGAGCUGGGUUGAGGCACAUCCGCUGCCAAACUGUCUCCAGCAUUUGUAAUCCCUGCUUUUCGGCACCACCCAAGAUGUACUAAUGCGCCUUGUGAAGACUCACUCCCGUGGCCUCUGGGGUUCGGCAUUGAAAGAGAGGGUGGGAGAGGAAAGGAAAGAGAAGGGGAAAGGACUCAUUUGGAAGCAGUGCAUUUUUAUCAGAGGGACUGAAAAGCCUUUCGAGAAUCAGUCAAGAAAAAGGAAUGCGCAUGAGAGUCAUGCACAAGGAAAUCCAACACUGAGGGGUCACAGCAGAGGGACGGAAAGCACCUGGAUCUUACAACAUUGUUGAGCUCUUUUGUCUCUUGACUUCUAGUUAUGAGAUGUAAUUUUCUUACUGUUAAAGUCAUUUCUGUUCCUUGCAACCAAAAGCAUUCAUUGAUACACUGAAUAUAGUACAAUAUUUAUUCAAUCAAUAAAUGCCUGGCAAA
rnacentral:lncRNA from 1 species